GGAAAAGAAACCAACAGGGAUUGCCUCAGUAACGGCGAGUGAAGCGGCAAAAGCUCAAAUUUGAAAUCUAGCACUUUCAGUGUUCGAGUUGUAAUUUGAAGAAGGUAACUUUGGUUUUGGCUCUUGUCUAUGUUCCUUGGAACAGGACGUCACAGAGGGUGAGAAUCCCGUGCGAUGAGAUGCCCAAUUCCAUGUAAAGUGCUUUCGAAGAGUCGAGUUGUUUGGGAAUGCAGCUCUAAGUGGGUGGUAAAUUCCAUCUAAAGCUAAAUAUUGGCGAGAGACCGAUAGCGAACAAGUACAGUGAUGGAAAGAUGAAAAGAACUUUGAAAAGAGAGUGAAAAAGUACGUGAAAUUGUUGAAAGGGAAGGGCUUGAGAUCAGACUUGGUAUUUUGCGUUCCCUUCCUUUUUGGUUGGGUUCCUCGCAGUUUACUGGGCCAGCAUCGGUUUGGAUGGUAGGAUAAUGACAUUGGAAUGUAGCUUUACUUCGGUGAAGUGUUAUAGACUUUGUUGAUACUGCCUAUCUAGACCGAGGACUGCGUCUUUGACUAGGAUGCUGGCGUAAUGAUCUUAAGCCGCCCGUCU
rnacentral:rRNA from 1 species